GUCCUAGCCCUAAACGAUGCUCAUUAGGUGUGGGAGGUAUCGACCCCUUCCGCGCCGUAGCUAACGCAUUAAAUGAGCCGCCUGGGGAGUACGGCCGCAAGGUUGAAACUCAAAGGAAUUGACGGGGGCCCCGCACAAGCGGUGGAGCAUGUGGUUUAAUUCGACGCAACUCGAAGAACCUUACCUGGGCUUGAACUACUGGUAGUAAGUCUUUGGAAACAUAGACUGAUCCGCAAGGAAGCCAGCAGAGGUGCUGCAUGGUUGUCGU
rnacentral:rRNA from 1 species